UCCUCCAUGAGUCUGUAUGGUGCGGCCCUGAUGAGGUCGCAGGAACCCGGUGUGAAUCCGGGACUGUUGCGCAGCGGUGACGGUGACGACGUCGGCGAAACCACUGGGAGUGAUCCUGGGAAGGGCCGACCGAGGGUGAUCCGAAGUCCGAAGACCCCCAUGCACGGCGCUGUGUC
rfam:Propionibacterium acnes KPA171202, complete genome.